rnacentral:lncRNA from 1 species
UUUUUUUUUUUUUUUUUUUUAGGGCCGCACCUGUGGCGUAUGGAGGUUCAGCUGCUGGCCUAUACCACAGCCUCAGUAAUGCCAGAUCCAAGCCUCAUCUGCCACCUACACCACAGUUCACAUCAACGCUGGAUCCUUAACCCACUGAGCAAGGCCAGGGAUUGAACUCGCAACCUCAUGGUUCCUAGUCGGAUUUGUGCCACAAUGGGAACUCCUAUAUAUGUGUUAAUUUAAAAUAGAAGUGUAUACAAGGAAUCAUUAAUAGCAGUUACUUCUGAGGAGUGGGGCUGAGGGAAAGGUGUUAGCAAAGGGAAAUUUUAUUUUCAUAUUAUACCCUUCUGAGAUGUUUGACUUUUUCCCUUUAGUGUGUAUUAAUUUCUGAUAUGAAGCCUAACCAAUGAAAUUAAAUAUAAUGAGAAAGAUAAGUUAAUACAACAUUUUAAAAUGUUCUGUGUAUGUGAUAUGUGCUGUUGUCGGCCUCCCCAUCCCCAUUCUGGGGCGAUAAUAAAAAGUUUUCAUUCAUUAAGAAUUUUAAAAGAACCCAUGACACCAAAAAAGUUAAAAUCCAUUGCUGUAAGGCACAUUUGUCCUGUUCCCAAGUGGAAAGAUUACAGAAUGUGCAGGUUCUUCAAACAUGAAUAUGAUCUUAGUUAUUGAUUUCACUUUUCUGUAGGGAGAACUGGCCCCAAAACAAGUCCAAGUGAUGAUGUUCAGGUGCAAUUUUCAAACAGAUGCCCUAAACAAAAUGCUUCCAUAGUGUCUGAUGACAGAACACACAUCUGCUUAGAAGGCAUAAGGGUUGAGGCAAACUAUGACCUUGUGCACAACAUUGAAUGUUUACUGGCUGGCAAACAAAAAGCCAAAUACAUAAUGAAGAGCAUUUAGAGAAAUAAUGUUGUGGUUACAGGUAUAUUUACUCUGCUAAGACCUACAUGCUCAGAGAAUGAAGGGUCCCAAUGGAACCAGGUUAAUGAUUUAACCACUGAUGUAGGACAGGAAAACAGGAUUUGGUCAGUGAGAGUCCAGAGGGUGGAAAGAUCUUGACAGAUACCUAAAUUGACUUAAACAGUAGGUUUCCACCUUCUAUUACAUUCCCUGAGGACUUCUGGUUAGAUGAGGAGGUCCAUUUGAAAAUGCAAACUUAUUUAUUUGCUUUUUAGGGCCGUACCUGCAGCAUAUGGAAAUUCUCAGGCUAGGGGCUGAAUCAGAGCUACAGCUGAUGGCUGAGGCCACAGCCCUGGCAAUGCCAGAUCCAGGCUGUGUCUGCAACCUACACCUCAGCUCAUGCCAGAGAUUGAAACCACAUCCUCAUGGAUACUAGCUGGGUUCUUUUCUGCUGAGACACAACAGGAACUCCUGCAAAUUUACUUACAAACCAGGAAAGAUUCUUGAAGGUCUAGGCAGUAAGCAGGAAUGACUAGGUAAUCUUUUUUUUUUUUUUUUUUUUUUUUUUAGGGCUGCACCCUAGGCAUAUGGAAGUUUACAGGCUAAGGGUCAAAUUGGAGCUACAACUGCUGGCCAUAGCCACACAGGGUCUGAGCUGCUUCUGCAACCUACACCACAGCUCACAAUGGUGGAUCCCCAAACCACUAAGUGAGGCCAGGGAUUGAACCCACAUCCUCAUGGAUACUAGUGGGAUUUGUUUCUGCUGCGCCAUGAUGGGAACUCCCAGGAAUGACUAGGUAAUCCUGAAACAUACAGGGUACAAACCAUCAAUCAGCAUUUUACAUGUAUCAUCUUAUUUAACCAUUACAACCAUUCUAUGAUUAUUUUUUCCACCCUAAUAUCACUGAUGAGACAACUGACGUUCAACUAAAUUCAAGGAAAUUAAUUAAUUUGUCCAUUACCACAUAAGGGGUAAAUGGUAAGGCUAGGACUCUGAAGUGCUCAGAAAUACCUCUGGACUCUACAUGUUUUUUCAUAUCUUUCAUUUACCAGAAAUCUUGCUAACACUAGAUUAUCUAAUCUAAAAUCUGCCCAGCCCUGCCAUCCUGUUCAGAUUUGUGCUGACCUGUGCUUGCCAUUGUGGGCACUCGAACCUUUUGAUCUUGGAUUCUGCCCUUUUGUAUUUCUCUCAUAUGGUGUCCCUGGCUGGAGAUCACCUUGCUUUUGACAACUUAACAUUCCAAUUAGUUCAAAGGAAAUGUACAUAAGCCUUAGUGUUUCCCUUUAAAGGACAGCAAGAUUCUGGCUUUCACUGAUUCAGGAAAGGCUUCUAUGUUUACAGAUAAGAAACAUUUGACAACAGGUCUAUAAAUGAAAAUGAUGACAAACUGAGCAGAGUAGAAUUCUGUAAUUUGGCAAAGUUGAGCCAUAUUUGGGCAAUCAAAAUCUCAUUUAGCAAAAUCCUAGUUUUCAUUUGGAUUAAAAGACCCAGAAUUGCCAAAACAAUUCUGAAGAACAAAAACCAAGCAGGAGGCAUAACUCUCUCAGACUUCAGGCAAUAUUACAAAGCCACAGUCAUUAAGACAGUGUGGUACUGAUACCAAAACAGACAUACAGACCAAUGGUACAGAAUAGAGAACCCAGAAGAAACCCAGACACCUAUGAUCAAUUAAUCUUUGAUAAAGGAGGCAAGAACAUAAAAUGGGAAAAAGACACUCUUUUCAGCAAGCAUUGCUGGGAAACCUGGACAGCUGCAUGCAAAUCAAUGAAACUAGAACACACCCUCACACCAUGCACCAAAAUAAACUCAAAAUAGUUGAAAGACUUAAAUAUAAGACAAGACACCAUCAAACGCCUGGAAGAGAACAUAGGCAAAACAUUCUCUGACACCAACCUUACAAAUGUUUUCUCAGGUCAGUCUCCCAAAGCAACAGAAAUAAGAGCAAAAAUAAACCAAUGGGACCUAAUCAAACUGACAAACUUUUGCACAGCAAAGGAAAC